GAACGGAUCCUUCGGGAUUAGUGGCGGACGGGUGAGUAACACGUGGGAACGUGCCCUUUGGUUCGGAACAACUCAGGGAAACUUGAGCUAAUACCGGAUGUGCCCUUCGGGGGAAAGAUUUAUCGCCAUUGGAGCGGCCCGCGUCUGAUUAGCUAGUUGGUGGGGUAAAGGCCCACCAAGGCGACGAUCAGUAGCUGGUCUGAGAGGAUGAUCAGCCACAUUGGGACUGAGACACGGCCCAA
rnacentral:rRNA from 1 species